rnacentral:tRNA from 1 species
ACUUUUAAAGGAAAGCAGUUAUCCAAUGGCCCUAGGGACCAGUAUUCU